rnacentral:misc_RNA from 1 species
UAACACAUCCACUGAAAGCACCACAGAUACUUAUCAAGUAAAUGAUACUUACAGAGAAGAGGAAAAUUAUAAUGGUGGUAUACAGAGAGAGAAUGUAGAUCAGCAUCAAGGAAAUGUUCUGAAAAAGCUUGUAUCUAUACCAAACUUCAAGAGGAGUUCUUCUAUCAACCAGAAGGAUGAGUCUCAGUUAAUACGAAUAAAACAGAAAUAUGAAUUGACUGAUUUG